ensembl:lncRNA
ACUCCAGCUGAGAGCUAGGGGAGAAAUACUGCUAUUCUUUCGUUUUGGUAUCUUACUAUGCCAUCUUAAUUUCCAUUUUUUUUCUGAUAAAUUAAAUAGAUAAAGGCUAACAUCUCCUGCUAGAAGAUUGCUAAUCUUGCAGAGUGUUUAUUCAUCAGAAUUUGUAGUUUGUCUUCCCAGUUUGGGCAGUUUGCACUAGUUUGAGUAGCCAGCCAAAAAAAAUCAGAUAACUUCUCUGUUUAGAGCAGAAGAAUAGUCCAGAUCUAAUGGGUCACAGAGGACCCAGUAUCCACUUCAGAGAAAGAAAACUGUGAGUAGAGAUCAACCUGAGUUUGGCAAGAAAAAUAAAUCAUUCCUGGGAUUUUGUGAGACUUACUGAUAAAUCUGCUUUAAUUUGUUUCCUCCAAAUUGCUCAGUACAAAAGUAUAUUGAAAAGAACAAUGCUAAGAGGAGCAUCAUAUGGAGACAUUUUAAUUGCUCAGAUCCCAUUACGUUUCAGUUCGAAAAUGAAGGAAGCAUGAGAGAUUGCAAGAGCAGUCAGUGUGAGAGGAGCACCCAUGCACGCACUUUUCCGUGUCAUAUGCAGAUGAUAUGUCUUGUCCUGAAUCUCCGCGCAGCACAGCUGUAGUGGUGGAUGUGGUUAGAAACUCUGAAUGAUGAGCCAGAGUCAUACAUUUAUUGAGGAAAAAGGCUACCAUCAUUUUGAUCAGUAUCUUCAUCAUAAGAGUACGUCAUAAGGACAUAAAAAAUCAUUGCUCAGUUUCUUUUUUGAACAGAACUGAUUCAAAUAUCAGCUUUUAUGAAAGGUUUUGAAUAAUAAUGUUCUAAGUCAUAUGGGAAGGAGUUUGCUUUUUAAGGAUGGUUACUGUAACUGAAUUAAUUUGUAGGCUGAAAUGCCAAAAGGAAAGUCUUAGAUUUUCACUUCAUUAAAAUAUGUUGAGAUCUUAGUCUACAAAUGCUAAGUCAUUGACAUGUGCUGCCAUAUUUGUUUUCUAACCUAAAAAGAAAAAAAAAAAAGCAUAGAAAUGAAAUAUAAAUGUAACUGCUUAUGAAAAAGUAGCCACUUACUGUUUAUGUAAGGCAUUGUGUUUUACUUAUUCCAUUAUGACUUAUUCCAGGGAAAAAACUGACCUCACUAGAAUUUGGAUGAUGAAGACUUUAUGGCAAGGCUCACACCUCCAGUGUGAAGAAUUUGAGAGGUUUUGUUUGCUCUUUAUUGUGUUUAUUUAUUGUUUCUACCAGAAAAAGAAAUUCUGCUGUUAGUUAUUAUGGAAACUUUUUGUUAAACAAGAACAUUUGGCAGCAAAAGCUCACUCUAAAUUUGUCAAUAUAUAUUUGGACAAAUGUUUCCAGAUGGUUAUCUGGGUCUUGGACUUUCAAAAAGCAACAUAAAACAAACGCUUGUGUUUAUGAAAUAUUUUAGCUAAAGAAAGUUAUUUUUUCCAGUCACUGAAGUGAUUUUUUAGUCAAUCCUGAUCUGGUAAAACUGAAUAAAUCCCUCCAGCAAGCUGAACUUACUGACAUUACUUAGUAUUUACACACAGCAGGGAAGCUAGUCUGUCCCAGGUAUUUACACAUUUUCAGGGCUCUGCAGUGUAUGAGAACACACGUGCAAGUAUCUGUAGACAUGGUGCUAAUUCCUGACAGGUUCGUGUUCAGAUAAGUGAACAUGAGAACAGAAACACGGGGAACAUAUGAAUAAUAGCAGAAUGAAGUUGAUGUGAUUUUAAAAUUUAGAAAUGUGUAAAAACCCAUAAACAAAAUAAAUGUUUUCAAAGCUUUGUCAUGUGAUGCUUUGAAAAGACAAGAAAGACAGGGAGCUGUUGGAGAGAGUCCAGAGGAGGGCCACAAAGAUGAUCAGAAGGUUGGAGCACCUUCCCUACGAAGACAGGCUGAGGGAGCUGUGCUUGUUCAGCCUGGAGAAGAGAAGGCUGCGGGGUGACCUCACUGCAGCCUUCCAGUACCUAAAGGUAGCCUACAAACAGGAGGGGAGUCAACUCUUUACAAGCAUAGAUAAUGGCAGGACAGGGGGAAAUGGUUUUAAGCUGAAGGAGGGAAGAUUUAGGAUGGAUAUCAGGGGGAAGUUCUUUAUCAGGAUAGUGAUGAGGUGCAGGAACAGGCUGCCCAGAGAGGUUGUGGAUGCCCCGUCCCUGGAGGUUGGAUGGUGCCCUGGGCAGCCUGCUCUAGUAUUAGAUAUGGAGGUUGGUGGCCCGGCCUGCGGUAGGGGUGUUGGAGCUUCAUGAUCCUUGAGAUCCCUUCCAACCCAAGUCAUUCAAUGAUUCUAUGAUUCUAUGACAAGGUUUUUGCAAAUUGGUGCGUAGUGGCUUUUAAAAUUCUUCUUUCUUACCCCUUCAUACAGGCUUAGAUGCGGGUGAAUUGUCAGAUGAAGUCCAGCUUUCACAAGUUAAGAAUCCCACUAGUUAAAGUUGUGAAAAGCUUUUAGGUCUGUGCAUGGUGCUGUAUUGAGAUAGAACAGACUUAAGUCCUUGUUUGAUUAUAUGGGCCUGUGAGGGUCUAUUCUGGUUUUCUGAUACUGCCAGUUCUCUAUUUUCUGAGUCUUUUAGAGAAAGAGCCUUUUAGUGAAGGAUAACCUACAGAAUUUGGGGAUCAGUUCACAUAACUCUUCAAAACCUUUAUCUGAAAAUAUAUGGUCUGUAAGAAAAAGCAUAAAAGAAACCAACUCUCUAACCCAAACCUGAUAGAUUUUUGUGAAGAGUUUACUUUUGGAAGGUAGUUAUCUGGAAGAGACAAGUGAAUCUUUUAUGCUGAAAUGUUGCUAACACAUCACAGCUUUAGGUCCAAUAUCUAUCAAUCACAUUCUAUAAGAAGCAUCAAUCCUCAAAUCAAAUACAAUGUUUCAAAAGUCAAAUUUUCUCUGUAUUUGUCCAUUAAUUUGUUCUCUGCAUAUAUGGGGAUCUCAAUUAACAUUUUUAAAAACCUCAUCAUUCACUCUUCUCCACACAAGUAGAAGCAAGUGGAAAUUAUACUAGUUGGACUAUGUAUGACGUGAAAUCUAGAUAAAUUCAUGGCUGUUUUCUUGUCUAGUUAUCACAUUCCAUGUCUUAGUUUUAUGUUCUCAUAGCUACGUACUGAUGAGCUUACCGCAAAGAGGAUAAAGUUGGCAUCAGUCCUUG